GUGAAUCAUCGAAUUUUUGAACGCAAAUUGCACUCUCUUCGGAGAGAAUGCCUGUUUGAGGGUCAGCUUAAAAAAAAUCGACUUAUUCGCUGUUUCGCGGUGACAUUCGCCGGAAUUUGGGUCAUCUUAAACCUUUGGGUUUUAACCGGUUAAAAAUUUUCUUUACGAUUCUCCGAACGUUUUUAAGUUUUCUUUACACGUUUAAGGU
rnacentral:misc_RNA from 1 species